rnacentral:miRNA from 1 species
GCUCCCUCGCGCGCCGCAGAGUGAGGCUGGGAGCCGGAAGAUGAUGUCAUCUUCUGGUUCCCAGCCUCACUCUGCAGCCGACGCGC